CCGGCGCACGGGUGAGUAACACGUAUGCAACCUGGCCGUCACAGGUGGAUAACCGGAAGAAAUUCCGACUAAUACAGCAUAACACUCCUGAGGGACAUCCCUUGGGAGUCAAAGGAGGCAACUCCGGUGACGGAUGGGCAUGCGGCGCAUUAGGUAGUUGGUAGGGUAACGGCCUACCAAGCCGACGAUGCGUAGGGGUUCUGAGAGGAAGGUCCCCCACAUUGGAACUGAGACACGAUCCAAACUCCUACGGAAGGCAGCAG
rnacentral:rRNA from 1 species